AGUGAACGCUGGCGGUAGGCCUAACACAUGCAAGUUGAACGGCAGCACAGUAAGAGCUUGCUCUUACGGGUGGCGAGUGGCGGACGGGUGAGGAAUACAUCUGAAUCUACUUUUUCGUGGGGGAUAACGUAGGGAAACUUACGCUAAUACCGCAUACGACCUACGGGUGAAAGCAGGGGAUCUUCGGACCUUGCGCGAUUGAAUGAGCCGAUGUCGGAUUAGCUAGUUGGCGGGGUAAAGGCCCACCAAGGCGACGAUCCGUAGCUGGUCUGAGAGGAUGAUCAGCCACACUGGAACUGAGACACGGUCCAGACUCCUACGGGAGGCAGCAGUGGGGAAUAUUGGACAAUGGGCGCAAGCCUGAUCCAGCCAUACCGCGUGGGUGAAGAAGGCCUUCGGGUUGUAAAGCCCUUUUGUUGGGAAAGAAAAGCAGCAGGUUAAUACCCCGCUGUUCUGACGGUACCCAAAGAAUAAGCACCGGCUAACUUCGUG
rnacentral:rRNA from 1 species